UACGUAGGGGGCUAGCGUUGUCCGGAUUUAUUGGGCGUAAAGAGCGUGUAGGCGGCCAGGUAGGUCUGCUGUGAAAACUUGAGGCUCAACCUCGAGACGUCGGCGGAAACCAUCUGGCUAGAGUCCGGAAGAGGAGAGUGGAAUUCCUGGUGUAGCGGUGAAAUGCGCAGAUAUCAGGAAGAACACCCGUGGCGAAGGCGGCUCUCUGGGACGGUACUGACGCUGAGACGCGAAAGCGUGGGGAGCGAACAGG
rnacentral:rRNA from 1 species